rnacentral:rRNA from 1 species
UGGGCGCAAGCCUGAUCCAGCCAUACCGCGUGGGUGAAGAAGGCCUUCGGGUUGUAAAGCCCUUUUGUUGGGAAAGAAAUCCUGUCGAUUAAUACUCGGUGGGGAUGACGGUACCCAAAGAAUAAGCACCGGCUAACUUCGUGCCAGCAGCCGCGGUAAUACGAAGGGUGCAAGCGUUACUCGGAAUUACUGGGCGUAAAGCGUGCGUAGGUGGUGGUUUAAGUCUGCUGUGAAAGCCCUGGGCUCAACCUGGGAAUUGCAGUGGAUACUGGAUCACUAGAGUGUGGUAGAGGGAUGCGGAAUUUCUGGUGUAGCAGUGAAAUGCGUAGAGAUCAGAAGGAACAUCCGUGGCGAAGGCGGCAUCCUGGGCCAACACUGACACUGAGGCACGAAAGCGUGGGGAGCAAACAGGAUUAGAUACCUGGUAGUCCACGCCCUAAACGAUGCCAACUGGAUGUUGGGUGCAACUUGGGCACCCCAGUAUCGAAGCUAACGCGUUAAGUCCGCCGCUGGGGAGUANCNGGCCCAAGGCUAAAACUCAAAGGAAUUGACGGGG